GUGCUCACUUCAGCAGCACAUAUACUAAAACUGGAACGAUACAAAGAAGAUGUGCAUGGCCCCUUGUGCAAGGAUAACAUGCAAAUUCGUGAAGUGUUCCCUAUUUAA